AAAAUGAUAAACAUUGGUUUUCCGUAUCCAACAUUUAACCGUCCAUCUUAUUUAAAAAAAUUAUGAAAAAAUUAAAAAGACAAGUCACGUAUAAAAUAUUAAUCAUGUUUUAUCAUCUAACAAUAAUAAAAAUAUAAAUUAUAAAAAAAUUUCAUAUAAAACGGACAGUUAAAGUUGGACACGUAAACCUAGAGUUUGACUUUUU
rfam:Oryza barthii chromosome 1, whole genome shotgun sequence.